CCUACGGGUGGCAGCAGUCGAGAAUCAUUCACAAUGGGGGAAACCCUGAUGGUGCGACGCCGCGUGGGGGAAUGAAGGUCUUCGGAUUGUAACCCCCUGUCAUGUGGGCGCAAAUUAAAAAGAUAGUACCACAAGAGGAAGAGACAGCUAACUCCGCGCCAGCAGCCGCGGUAAUACAGAGGUCUCAAGCGUUGUUCGGAAUCACGGGGGGUAAAGCGUGCGUAGGCUGUUGCGUAAGUCGUGUGUGAAAGGCGCGGGCUCAACCCGCGGACGGCACAUGAUACUGCGAGACUAGAGUGAUGGAGGGGGAACCGGAAUUCUCGGUGUAGCAGUGAAAUGCGUAGAUAUCGAGAGGAACACUCGUGGCGAAGGCGGGUUCCUGGACAUUAACUGACGCUGAGGCACGAAGGCCAGGGGAGCGAAAGGGAUUAGAUACCCCUGUAGUC
rnacentral:rRNA from 1 species